rnacentral:tRNA from 1 species
GGAGGUGCCGGGGCUCACUGGUAGAGCAUUUGCUUGGAAUGCAGAAGGUCCCAAGUUCAAUCUUGAGCAUCUUCA